UUGUCUCAGCGGACGUAUAAAAACACACUGAUCCAUCUUCCCCCAGCCUACCCAGUAACAUCACGAUAACCAUUACGUGGAGCUCAGAUGGGAGGGCGCACAGGCUCAGAUUGUGGCUAGUUUCAUAGAAAAAAACCCAGCAGUGAAAGAGACGCGCUGCAUAACAUUAUGUCGGCAUCACCUGUUGUUCCCGUCGAUAAACGAUUGCCAGCCGUGGAUGUGGAGCCACCAACAGAAAGGAGGGGAAGUGUUGGUAGUGCUGAGUGGAAGACUAGUGAUUUUGUUGUGACGCUGAUCAAAGAACAACAAGUCCCAGUCUGCCUCUCAGCACAAGCAGUGCUCUUCAGGCCACGUCAGCUGUAACCUGCACAACUCUUCAGAAUCUGCGUGCAUUUUCAUGUUGCCAUUGUGGCAGAGUUUCCCUGUUUGUUCAGCAACAACAAUAUGAGACAUGUCCUUUAAAAAUGCACCAAGGCUCUGGUGUGCGCCUGUGUGAAUGGGUGUAGCCUUAAUGCUCAGCAAUGUUAAUUACCAGCAUAAUUGCAAUCAAAAGCAUCAUUUAAGUGGAGAAAUUCAUGGAACAGAAACACACACACACACACACACACACAAUGAAAACUGGUCUCAGACCUUGGGGAAAUACUGUAAUAAUGGCAUGUAGCACACUUUGUACAGAACAGACUGAAAUAACACAAUGUUGAUUAAUAAAUCUGCACUGGAGCGUAUUGUUGAGUUGUUAUAAAGGUGAACUAAAACCACAGUGUAAACCAC